GAAAGCCGUAUGAGGGAAAACCUCACGUACGGUUUGAUGAGGGGAAGCCAUCUCUAAAGAAAUCUGUUUCAGUUUUCUACUCUAC
rnacentral:ncRNA from 1 species